GGUCAGUGAUGUUACGUAAAAGGUCUGAAGCUCAGAUACUUUGCCCCUUCAGCCGCCAUUUUGGCUCCCAGCAGCCCUGCUCUCAGCUCCCAGCAUGCUCUAGCAGUGCAGCGCUGGUCCCAGCAGCUGCUGACACACAGGAUGUGACAUCACAGCUCUGAGUCUGUACUCAGAUCCUAUUGGCUCAGUGUGAUGCUGAGUGACAUCCGACAGAACCAAUCAGAAAGGAGCGUCAGGCUGAGGGGGCGGGGCCUGAACGGUGAUCUCACCCUUCUACUGAGACC